rnacentral:sRNA from 1 species
AGCGGAGCGGUGGGCCGGGGGCUGGAGGACAGGUUAGUGCGCUGGACGCAAGCACCAGGCGCAGCCUCGCUCGCCGAGACCCGGCCAGGUAAGGCCGGUGGCCGCGCGAACGUGUUACGUGUCAGUUUUUAGUGAAAAAACAUUGAGCUAGGAGCCAAGACCCAUCUCUUCACUAUUUUGGUAUUGUGCAAGUCAUCUUACCUCUCUGGAUCUCAGUUGUCUCAUCUGUAAAAAGGAGAUAAAAAUUAUUUACCUGCCUGAACAUGAGGUGGAGGACCAUCCUGCUACAGUAUUGCUUUCUCUUGAUCACAUGUUUACUUACUGCUCUUGAAGCUGUGCCUAUUGACAUAGACAAGACAAAAGUACAAAAUAUUCACCCUGUGGAAAGUGCGAAGAUAGAACCACCAGUAAGUGAAAUGAAGUGAAAUGGGAGGAAUUAUAACUAAAUGAAAUGAAUUAUAAUUGUAACUAAAUGAGGUAGAAUGAGGUGAAACUAUAACUAAAUGAAAUGAGAGGAAUUAUAACAAAAAUAUUGCUAAUAUUU